UACAGAGGUCUCAAGCGUUGUCCGGAAUCAUUGGGCGUAAAGAGCGUGUAGGCGGCCCGAUAAGUCCGCCGUGAAAGUCCAGGGCUCAACCCUGGAAUGCCGGUGGAAACUGUCGGGCUGGAGUCCGGAAGAGGCGAGUGGAAUUCCUGGUGUAGCGGUGAAAUGCGCAGAUAUCGGGAGGAACACCGGUGGCGAAGGCGGUUCUCUGGGCCUUACCUGACGCUGAGGAGCGAAAGCGUGGGGAGCGAACAGG
rnacentral:rRNA from 1 species